rnacentral:rRNA from 1 species
UACGUAGGGUCCGAGCGUUGUCCGGAAUUACUGGGCGUAAAGAGCUCGUAGGUGGUUUGUCGCGUUGUUCGUGAAAACUCACAGCUCAACUGUGGGCGUGCGGGCGAUACGGGCAGACUGGAGUACUGCAGGGGAGACUGGAAUUCCUGGUGUAGCGGUGGAAUGCGCAGAUAUCAGGAGGAACACCGGUGGCGAAGGCGGGUCUCUGGGCCUGACCUGACGCUGAGGAGCGAAAGCGUGGGGAGCGAACAGG